rnacentral:rRNA from 1 species
UACGUAGGGGGCUAGCGUUGUCCGGAUUUAUUGGGCGUAAAGAGCGUGUAGGCGGCCAGGUAGGUCUGCUGUGAAAACUCGAGGCUCAACCUCGAGAUGUCGGCGGAAACCAUCUGGCUAGAGUCCGGAAGAGGAGAGUGGAAUUCCUGGUGUAGCGGUGAAAUGCGCAGAUAUCAGGAAGAACACCCGUGGCGAAGGCGGCGCUCUGGGACGGUACUGACGCUGAGACGCGAAAGCGUGGGGAGCGAACAGG